CCUGACGCAGCGACGCCGCGUGAGUGAAGAAGGCCUUAGGGUUGUAAAGCUCUGUAUUCGGGGACGAAGAGGCGGGGAGUUAAGAGCUUUUCGUUAUGACGGUACCCGAAGAGGAAGCCCCGGCUAACUACGUGCCAGCAGCCGCGGUAAGACGUAGGGGGCGAGCGUUGUCCGGAAUCACUGGGCGUAAAGAGCACGUAGGCGGAUAUACAAGUCAGGUGUGAAAGACCGGGGCUCAACCCCGGGGUUGCACUUGAGACUGUAUAUCUUGAGGACAGGAGAGGGCAGUAGAAUUCCUGGUGUAGCGGUGAAAUGCGUAGAAAUCAGGAGGAAUACCGGUGGCGAAGGCGGCUGUCUGGACUGGACCUGACGCUGAGGUGCGAAAGCGUGGGUAGCAAACAGGAUUAGAUACCCUGGUAGUCCACGCUGUAAACGAUGGAUACUAGGUGUAGGAGGUAUCGACCCCUUCUGUGCCGCAGCUAACGCAAUAAGUAUCCCGUCUGGGGAGUACGGUCGCAAGGCUGAAACUCAAAGGAAUGGACGGA
rnacentral:rRNA from 1 species